AACGAACGCUGGCGGCAUGCCUAACACAUGCAAGUCGAACGAGACCUUCGGGUCUAGUGGCGCACGGGUGCGUAACGCGUGGGAAUCUGCCCUUGGGUUCGGAAUAACUCAGAGAAAUUUGAGCUAAUACCGGAUGAUGACGAAAGUCCAAAGAUUUAUCGCCCAGGGAUGAGCCCGCGUAAGAUUAGCUUGUUGGUGGGGUAAUGGCCUACCAAGGCGACGAUCUUUAGCUGGUCUGAGAGGAUGAUCAGCCACACUGGGACUGAGACACGGCCCAGACUCCUACGGGAGGCAGCAGUGGGGAAUAUUGGACAAUGGGCGCAAGCCUGAUCCAGCAAUGCCGCGUGAGUGAUGAAGGCCUUAGGGUUGUAAAGCUCUUUUACCAGGGAUGAUAAUGACAGUACCUGGAGAAUAAGCCCGGCUAACUCCGUG
rnacentral:rRNA from 1 species